CGGCGGGGGGCGGGGGGUGGCGGGAGGUGGAGCCCCCUUCUCACCCGACGCCCCUGCCCGCCUCGCCUCCCGCGUGCUCCCUGGGCAAACCGCCGCGCCUGAGCUCAGGCCCCGCUGGUGCCUGCAUGGCCACCCCUGCCCCCGCUGCCAUCCAGACGCCCGCUGGCACGAAUGCCUGCAGGCCCUGAGACGACCUCUGCCCCCGACGCGGGGACGUGGGGCCCAGACUGGCGGCGCUCGUGGGCCCUGUGCCCCAAUACUUAGGCCACCUGAUAUGAAGAACUGACUCACUGGCAAAGAUCCUGAUGCUGGGAAAGAUUGAAGAAAUAUAUUGUUUAUGUCCAUUAUGUUGUUUAUGAAAUUUAUGAAAACAUCAGAUACCAUCUCCCAUUUGCUCCAUCUGACACCUGGAAAAGCUGGUGCCCGAACAGGUGAAGCAGUUUCUCACAGACAGCAGGUCUCUGGUCCGGGCUGACGGUCUUCCAAACCCUCUUCUACCUGGUGUACGUCUGGAGGAUCGACUGGAACCGUGCGGCAGAGCAGGUACCAGCGCGGGGAGGGGAGUGUGCGUGUGCGUGCAUGCUGUGAUCCCAGGGCUCUUCCAGGGUGAGGAUGGUAAGAAGCCCACAGGCAGCAGGACGCACUGUGACUCGUGAAGAGGCAUUGGACGUGAGAGUGGGGGCCAAAGGAAACCUGAGUCCUCAAUACGGAGCUAAUUUCUCCUCUGCUUAGCAGGCACAGCCAGAGAGUUAGCUUAGAAACUCAUGUGUGAGGUCGUCUUGGG
ensembl:lncRNA